rfam:Cavia porcellus supercont2_23 genomic scaffold, whole genome shotgun sequence.
GGGGAUUUAGCUCAGCGGCAUAAGCGCCUGCCUUGAAAGCAGGCAGUCGUGAGUUCAAUCCCUG